GAGAACUGCGCUUGCGUAGAAGAAGCAGCAGAACUACAAGCCCCAGAAUGCAUUAGGAUGGGCGCCAGGGCUGGAGCAGGGCUACAGGAGGAGGCAGGGACAGUGCUAAUAAGGAGGCGGGGAGAAGAGGAGGACGACAGGAGAUGCGUGAGACUGUGAUUCUGUUAGACAGUUUGGCUUUUGACCGAAGAGGCUGUACGAGAUUGCUCUGUGCCCCAAACAAUCACGUUCCCAUGAUGUCAUUUUUGUCUAGAACGCCCGCCCGUUAGAAUCUUCGUCUUUGUUCUACCUCCUGAACUUGAGCGCAAGCAGAGUGAAAUCGGAGUUUUUAUCUCUAUAAGUCCUGCAUCGUGAUAGAUUUGUUCACGAGCUGUUACUACUUAUCACAGGAAUCCAGUGAAGAGACAUCUCGCCCACAGGGCUUUGUGGGGUGUUCAGUGAAGACUAGUUAGUACCUGGGGUUUGAGGGCCCGCUGAGCCAUUUUCCGGGCUGCUUUCCUCCUUUGGGGUCCUCCUGACUCCAAGAAGCUGUAGCACACCCAGCAACCACACCUCAGUGAAUCAUCUUGGUAGGUGAGCUAAAUCGGGCUGGGCUCAAGUCCAUCAGUGAAUUGGGGAAAUGUCUGCCCUAGGCAUGUGAAGACUUCCCCCAGACGAAUGGGUAGAUGAGAAUGAUUUGUCCUAAAGUCCAGGAAAGCUGCUGAAGUAGGCUCUGAGGAAUGCUUAGAGUUUAGUUAGACAUAAAAAAUGCCAAGGUCAUCCUCUGCAUCCCUAGCCAUCACCACUCAUCUUUUUUUUUUUUUUAAAUAAAGAUAUUCUAUUUCCCCAAU